AAGUAUAUAAUAAUUACGAAAGCAAAAAAUUAUGGCGGUAUUUUAAGCUUUUCAGAGGAAUUUGCUCUUUAAUGGAUAAAACACCUAAAUCUUACUUAAAUUUGUCAAAUCAACUUGUAUACCACUAUUAAAACAAUUAUUAACUCUAAUUGUUAAUAUUUAAAAAUAUAAAUUAAUUUAAAUUAAGUCAAGGUGCAGUAAAAAUUUAAGAAUGAAGUGAAUUACAUUACUUUUAAGAGAAAUAAAAUUAAAUAAAAUUUAGGAUUUGAAAGUAAAAUUAAAAUAGAAUGUUAAUU
rnacentral:rRNA from 1 species